AGUCGAUACGAUCUACGAUCGCUGUAAUAUCGCUGGAAGUAAUCAGUAUCGGACGAUGAGGCCACAGGAAGUCCCCGGUGCGGGUGUUGUCGAUGAAUUAUCGUUCUUCGAAAGACACCGGUCGAUCGGGUCGGUAUUGUACGCUCGAUGAUUAUUUCGACGAUCGGUCGAUCGAUGCGAAACGAGUGAUUCGUUUGCAAUUCCGGAUUUGAGACAGCGUAUUAGUAUUCCUUAGAACACUUAUGGUACCACGUGUAACGAUCAGUUUAUUCGGUGUUAUAGGUAUAUUUUCUAUUCGCGUAGCUACGUACCAUAUCAUUUGAGGAGCGCCCGUUCGCCGUUUUCGGAGAUGUUCUUCUUGCUCUUGCCCUGAAUCCCUCGCGGAGAAUGUUGAUCAUAGAUUAAACAAGGGAUAAAAUUAAUAACCUUCGGGUACGCAGGGUGCCCAAGGUUACCGUAAUAGCUCGAGUGUAAGCCUCGAGGGGGAAGUGACAAUGAAAAUCGUUUUAAGAGCGCCGAGCAGAAGGGGCGCGUAUGUGCCCGUGUAAUCUAAAGUCCCGAAAUUUUGUUUCCGAACUCGAUGCAUUUUUAAAGCGAUAAGGUCAUUUUCGGGUGGGUGUUGGUUCGCGAGUACCGUGGCCGAUACCAAAAAUCACCGAUGCAAAGUCUAGAGUCGUGUUGAAAAUGAAAUUUUGACCAUCUUCUCGAAGCGAGAAAUUCGAUCUCGGGAAAAAACACAUCUCGCGUCGUUGGCACGAAUACGCACGCGAUGAAAAGCUUUUACCGACAUGUUCGCUCCAUUUCUACGUGAACAUCUCGUCGUUUCAAACCCUCGCGGAAAGCUAUGGGAUCAAAUUCGCACUGCGAGGCGGCCCGAUGCAUUCCCAGGUUUUCCAUCUAGGCAUCAAUCGCAUUAUCGCCUUACGCCGAUGUCAGCCAUCGACGAAAGAAUAUCUGAUUAAGUAACCGAACACCCAAGGCGUACCCUAAGCCUGUACGAGGUAUGUAACGUGGCAGAGUUAUUCGUGAAAUGUUGUACAAUUCCUAGGUACGUACUGUGAGCAUACAUGUUUGAUAAACUUCCAGUUAAACCGAUUCAAUUGUGCAACGUUUGCUGGAAUACUCGUACCAAUCAGAAAUAGCUCGAGUGCCUUAUCUUGUUCGUACUGCACACAGGCGUAGAUAACGCGUUGUUUUCGACCAAUUUAAAAAAUUUCGCUCAACGCCUCGAUCAAACAACUUAUGAGAAGUGACGCAAUCAUUCAAAUUUACAGUUGUCCGAAUUUUCUGAUCGGUAUCAGGUAUUUCGCUCACAGAUUCCCAAGUGGUGGGGAUCAACCGCGGUAUCACCGAAUUCAACCAUCUGAAAAGCAACGAAAACCUGAACACUGACGACACGGGUGAACCGAGACUGCUGCACUAUAUUCGGAGAAUUAUUUGGGCUUCAUCGUACAAUCGAGCAUCGAUCGCCAUCUUACGCAUGCAGAAAUUCAUCUGAUUCACGGCCUGUUAAUCCUCGGAAUGGUUUUUCCGAGCUGAUUUCGAGGGGCAAGACAAAGCGACGCGAUACCGGUGUCCGUGUAGGUAUACCGUGUAGCAUUCGCAGCAUUACCGUGUCAUUCCCCGGAGUGCAGUGAAACAAGGCAGGUCAGAUAAUCUGCAGCUGUAUCCUUCCGGGGACGGAGCAGUGUGUAGCGCACGUUUCGAUCCCUUGUGGACGUCGUACGGUCAGACUCUAGUUAAUCCGACUCGUUAUGGCGUACAGCCAGAAGUUGCCUUGGUCGCAUUCCAUUAUAGCGCGAGGAUGGACCUUCGACCUGUACGGGAGAAUUGAAAGGGUGGUGGUGUCUGGCGGGACCCUGUUUGGGAUUUACGAGCGUAAAAAAGCUAAAUCGCCAGCAAAGCCGGAGUUCGGAAGCCAUGCACACUUGAUCGCGGUGGCAAAUGGUGCCGGUGACAAGAACCUCGCGGUUGACGUUGCGUAGGUGAUUUAUCAAGAUCGAUGCGGAAUAUGUUUGGUGAAAAUGACCGAACUUGAAACACAAUAGAAUCUAUGCAACGACAAGUGCAAGAUUGACAAACUCAAAUAACGCUUAUUCGAUCGGGAGUUCCUGUUUCGUGUCGGAAACUGACGAUGAGGUCGGUUGAGAUAUCAAGUCGAAUCGCCACACGUCUUUGAAGGUGCAGAUAGGCAUAUAACAUCAGGCAUACGUAUAAUAUUCAUGUUGCGUGGAUUCAAUAUCAGCUUCCAGGGGUCCACUUAUUAUACUGUAACUAAUGGCCAGCAAUAAGCUCGGAUCGUACGGGUGUCAACGUGUCGUAAAUCGAUGCAACAUUGCUGCUAAUCGAUCUCGUGGUGUGGCGUCGUUUACGCACCUACAACGCACCACGACGAUAUUUCACGAUGAAGUAUGGCUCGGUUACGCACGCAGUGGGCCACUGUAUUUUCAGGUAGCAAAUACCGAUGAUAUUAUCGUAAAACCAACUACGAUAAAUUAUCGCACCUUAGGAAAGAGCGGUCAGGCUGGGUUGUGCGUGUGCUGAAUUCGAUAUUAGCUAGUUGUGCGUCCGCGCAGCGUUCCUCUUACCAUCGACCCCAUCUUUGUUAUAUUCCUCUUUUUCUCGUCAGCUCUCGUCUCUUCCUAACUUUCCGUCGCAGACGACAAACAAGAAAAUCUUACACCUAUCUUCCAAUUUCCCUGAAUUAGACCACAUUGCGUGCAACACCCCGCGUGAGUGACGUACAAGGGCAUUCAGGUCAAGUGGAGUUCUUUAGAUUUCGGGGUCGAUACUCAAAAUUUUUUUUGUAUUCGGGUUCAUAGGCUAUUUUUGUGCAUUUCGAUUUCAGGAAUCCAAAUCUGGAAAAGAAUGUGGUCCAUUUGUGAAAUUAAUCGCCAAAUUUUUAAACUAAGAACUUGGCCGUUUGAAACACAUUAAUUAAUUUUAUCAUUAAUGAUUUCAGGUCUGAUGACUUGGUCAGGCACCUUUUCGCGAUGUGUAAUAACGGAAUGCGCGGAAAAAAAAGUAUUCUAAUUUU